rnacentral:rRNA from 1 species
GACGAACGCUGGCGGCGUGCUUAACACAUGCGAGUCGAACGGAAAGGCCCUGCUUUUGUGGGGUGCUCGAGUGGCGAACGGGUGAGUAACACGUGAGUAACCUGCCCUUGACUUUGGGAUAACUUCAGGAAACUGGGGCUAAUACCGGAUAGGAGCUCCUGCUGCAUGGUGGGGGUUGGAAAGUUUCGGCGGUUGGGGAUGGACUCGCGGCUUAUCAGCUUGUUGGUGGGGUAGUGGCUUACCAAGGCUUUGACGGGUAGCCGGCCUGAGAGGGUGACCGGCCACAUUGGGACUGAGAUACGGCCCAGACUCCUACGGGAGGCAGCAGUGGGGAAUAUUGCACAAGGGGCGGAAGCCUGAUGCAGCAACGCCGCGUGCGGGAUGACGGCCUUCGGGUUGUAAACCGCUUUCGCCUGUGACGAAGCGUGAGUGACGGUAAUGGGUAAAGAAGCACCGGCUAACUACGUG